UACGUAGGGACCGAGCGUUGUCCGGAUUCAUUGGGCGUAAAGAGCUCGUAGGCGGCCACUCAAGUCGAAUGUGAAACCUCGAGGCUUAACCUCGAGCCUGCAUUCGAUACUGGGCGGCUAGAGUCUGGUAGGGGGAUCUGGAAUUCCUGGUGUAGCGGUGAAAUGCGCAGAUAUCAGGAAGAACACCCGUGGCGAAGGCGGCUCUCUGGGACGGUACUGACGCUGAGACGCGAAAGCGUGGGGAGCGAACAGG
rnacentral:rRNA from 1 species